rnacentral:lncRNA from 1 species
UAUUUUUAUAAAGGAAACUAAUUUAAACGGACGAAGAUAUCAGCAGGUAUUUGGGACAUUUUUAAGGCUUUUAAUAAUUGAAAUACAUUGUUGUUUGUUUUCUUAUUGAUUAAUUUAGUGUUUUUUUCAUUUUAAUAGUUGACUAUUCACAAUUGUAAUGGAGCGUUGAAAGACUGCUCCAACUGUUUGUUCAUCAGUCACAAAAUCAAGUCGUGUCUUUUUGUAACAACCAUUUAUUUGUGAACAAGGUGUAAUUGUUUUACAACUGAACCAACGUGUCGGUUCUGAAUACUAUAAAGUCAAAUGCGAAAUGGAAAGAUUGUUGGACUUUGGUGGUCAAAAUAUUUACCACAUGACGCACCAACUGUUUAUAACAAGAAGGGGUACAUUUGUUCUGAUAUUCAAUGGCAGCAAAGGUAUUCAUGAAGAAAUAUCAGACUACAUUGGACUUCCUAGCUGUAAACUAUCACAGGAAUGCAGCAGCUAUGUUACUAUAAGUGAGUGAGAAAAAAAGUUGUCUAUGUAAAUACAAAUAGGACAUGAAUAGUCUGACGAAAGGUGUUUCAGCUGUUUUUUUAUAAAUGGAAAGUAGAUAUAACAUUAAGACUUUUAUUCAUUUGUAAUACAUUUUAUGUUGGGUUUUUUUAAUUGACUUUGUUUUGUGUCUUAUCUUUUUUUUUUUUUAAUUUUAAUGGUAGAAUUUUUUAUCACAUUUAAAGAUUGCUCCGUUCGUCCAUCACAACAACUAGUUGUGUCUUUUUGCAACAAUCAUUUAUUUGUGAACAAGGUGCAAUUGUUUUACAGCUGAACCAACUUGUCAGUUUUGAAUACUAUAAAGCCAAAUGCGAAAUGAAAAGAUUAUGGGACUUUGGUGGUCAAAAAAUGUAUCACAUGACGCACCAACUGUUUAUUACAAGUAGGGGUACAUUUGUGCUAAUCUUCAAUGGCGGCAAAGGUAUUCAUGAUGAAAUAUCAGACUACAUAGACUUCCUAGCUGUAACGAUCAAUGAAAUACAGCAGUCAUGUUACCCAUUAGUAAAUAAGAAAACAAGUCAUCUUUUUACAGAAAAAUAAGACAUUUUAUAAGGAAGGUGUUUGAGCAGUUUACCACAAAACCUGACGAUUAUUUUAUAAAGGAAACUUAUUUCAACAGACGAAGAUAUCAGCAGUUAUUUGGGACAUUUUAAAGGCUUUUCAUCAUGGCAAUACAUUGUGGUUUGUUUUCAUAUUGAUUUAUUUUUUUUAAUUUUUUAAUUUUAAUAGUUGACUUUUCACAUUGUAAUGGAGCGUUGAAAGACUGCUCCAUCCGUUUGUUCAUCGAUUGUGGGACUUUGGUGGUCAAAAAAUGUAUCACAUGACGCGCCAACUGUUUAUGACAAGUAGGGGUACAUUUGUGCUAAUCUUCAAUGGCGGCAAAGGUAUUCAUGAAGACAUAUCAGACUACACAGACUUCCUAGCUGUAACGAUCAACGAAAUACAGCAGUCAUGUUACCCAUUAGUAAAUAAGAAAACAAGUCAUCUUUUUACAGAAAAUAAGACAUUUUAUAAGGAAGAUGUUCGAGUAGCUUCAACACAAAACCUGACGAUUAUUUUAUAAAGGAAACUUUUUCAACAGACGAAGAUAUCAGCAGUUAUUUGGGACAUUUUUACGGCUUUUCAUCAUGGCAAUACAUUGUUGUUUGUUUUCAUAUUAAUUAAUUUUUUUUUUUUUAUUUAUUUUAAUAGUUGACUUUUCACAUUGUAAUGGAGCGUUGAAAGACUGCUCCAUUCGUUUGUUCAUCAGUCACAGCAUCAAGUUGUGUUUUUUGUAACAACCAUUCAACUGUAAACAUGGUGCAAUUGUUUUACAACUGAUCCAACUUUUCCAUUCUGAAUUCAAUAAAGCCAAAUACGAAAUGGAAAGAUUGUGGGACUUUGGUGGUCAAAAUAUUUAUCACAUGACGCAUCAACUGUUUAUUACAAGUAGGGGUACAUUCGUCCUGAUCUUCAAUGGCAGCAAAGGUAUUCAUGAAGAAAUAUCAGACUACAUAGACUUCCUAGCUGUAACGAUCAACGAAAUACAGCAGUCAUGUUACCCAUUAGUAAAUAAGAAAACACGUCAUCUUUUUACAGAAAAAUAAGACAUUUUAUAAGGAAGAAGUUUGAGCAGUUUCACCACAAAAUCUGAUGAUUAUUUUAUAAAGCAAACUUAUUUAAAUAGCCGAACAUAUCAUCAGUUAUUUGGGACAUUUUUAAGGCUUUUAAUAAUUGAUUGAUUGAUUGUUGGUUGCUUAACGUCCAGUGGCAAAUAUUUCAUGCAUAUUCAGGACGAGAACAAGUUCACAAUAAAUACAAUAAGUAGGUUGUUGUAAUAGAGGCCAUCUAGGAUGAUGGUCGGGGAAAUUUGGACUGCCACUGGAAAAUGAGGGUAUAUUGGAUAGGGACAGAAAUGUUGCCUUGCAACAGGCCACCUACGGACCCCUCACAGAGUUGUUGCAAGGGUUCUUAACGUGCAAAGAGCGUGGCACUCUAUUUACACGAGGCAUCGGAUUUAACGUCCCCUUCUGACGGACGUGACUGCAAACUUGAUACAUCCCGCACAGCCAAACGGACGCCCCACUUCAGCAAGCGUUUUACUGCCGGUCGGGAGAAGACCAAGUGACCAUAUUUCUAUACCCCAGUCACCCUUGGGGUCCUUUUAAUAAUUGAAUUACUUUUUGUUUUCUUAUUGAUUAAUUUAGUUUUUUUUCCCCUUCAUUUUAAUAGUUGACUAUUCUCAUUGUAAUGGAGCGUUGAAAGACAGCUACAUUUGUCUGUUCAUCCGUCACAAAAUCAAGUUGUGUCUUUUUGUGACUAACAACCAUUUAAUUGUAAACAUGGUACAAUUGUUUAAUAACUGACCCAACUUGUCUGUCCUGAAUUCAAUAAAGCCACAUACGAAAUGGUCAAAAAAUCACUUGACGCAUCAACUGUU